rnacentral:rRNA from 1 species
UACGUAGGGCGCAAGCGUUGUCCGGAAUUAUUGGGCGUAAAGAGCUCGUAGGCGGCUUGUCACGUCGGGUGUGAAAGCCCGGGGCUUAACCCCGGGUCUGCAUUCGAUACGGGCUGGCUGGAGUGUGGUAGGGGAGAUCGGAAUUCCUGGUGUAGCGGUGGAAUGCGCAGAUAUCAGGAGGAACACCGGUGGCGAAGGCGGGUCUCUGGGCCGUUACUGACGCUGAGGAGCGAAAGCGUGGGGAGCGAACAGG